AGUCGAGCGGUACGGUGUGUGGUUUACCACACAGCCGACGAGCGGCGGACGGGUGAGUAAAGUCUGGGGAUCUGCCUGAUGGAGGGGGAUAACCACUGGAAACGGUGGCUAAUACCGCAUGAACUCGAGAGAGCAAAGGAUGGGACCUUCGGGCCAUCCGCCAUUAGAUGAACCCAGAUGAGAUUAGCUAGUAGGCGGGGUAAGAGCCCACCUAGGCGACGAUCUCUAGCUGGUCUGAGAGGAUGACCAGCCACACUGGGACUGAGAUACGGCCCAGACUCCUACGGGAGGCAGCAGUGGGGAAUAUUGCACAAUGGGCGAAAGCCUGAUGCAGCCAUGCCGCGUGUGUGAAGAAGGCCUUAGGGUUGUAAAGCACUUUCGGCGAUGAAGAAGUAGUGACUUUGAUAAGGGGUUACUAUUGACGUUAGUCGCAGAAGAAGCACCGGCUAACUCCGUGCCAGCAGCCGCGGUAAUACGGAGGGUGCGAGCGUUAAUCGGAAUUACUGGGCGUAAAGGGCAUGUAGGCGGUUAACUAAGUUAGGUGUAAAAGCCCUGGGCUCAACCUAGGAAAGACAUUUAAGACUGGUAGACUNNAGUCAUGUAGAGGGGGGUAGNAAUUCCAGGUGUAGCGGUGAAAUGNGUAGAUAUCUGGAGGAAUACCGGUGGCGAAGGCGGCCCCCUGGACGUUGACUGACGCUGAGGUGCGAAAGCGUGGGGAGCAAAACAGGAUUAGAUACCCUGGUAGUCCACGCUGUAAACGAUGUCGACUUGGAGGGUGUAGCCAUGAGCUAUGCAUUCCGGNARCUUAACGCGUUAAGUCGACCGCCUGGGGAGUACGGCCGCAAGGUUAAAACUCAAAUGAAUUGACGGGGGCCCGCACAAGCGGUGGAGCAUGCGGUUUAAUUCGAUGCAACGCGAAGAACCUUACCUACUCUUGACAUCCAGAGGAGGUUGCAGAGAUGCGACUGUGCCGCGAGGAACUCUGAGACAGGUGCUGCAUGGCUGUCGUCAGCUCGUGUUGUGAAAUGUUGGGUUAAGUCCCGCAACGAGCGCAACCCUUGUUCUUUGUUGCCAGCACGUAAAGGUGGGAACUCAAAGGAGACUGCCGGUGAUAAACCGGAGGAAGGUGGGGACGACGUCAAGUCAUCAUGGCCCUUACGAGUAGGGCUACACGCGUGCUACAAUGGCGGAUACAGAGGGAUGCAAGCUAGCGAUAGUGAGCGGAACCCAGAAAGUCCGUCCAAGUCCGGAUUGGAGUCUGCAACUCGACUCCAUGAAGUAGGAAUCGCUAGUAAUCGCAAAUCAGAAUGUUGCGGUGAAUACGUUCCCGGGCCUUGUACACACCGCCCGUCACACCAUGGGAGUGGGUUGCACCAGAAGUAGAUAGCUUAACCCGCAAGGGGGGGCG
rnacentral:rRNA from 1 species